rnacentral:tRNA from 2 species
CGGCGCGGUGCCUGAGGUGCGGGGCGGUCGCCUUCAGGGCGACCGGGUGGCCGAGGGUGCGGGCGGCCUCGGCGGCGGC